rnacentral:rRNA from 1 species
UCGAGAAUUUUUCUCAAUGGGCGAAAGCCUGAAGGAGCGACGCCGCGUGGGGGAUAAAUGGCUUCGGCCCGUAAACCCCUGUCAUUUGCGAACAAACCUCGUGAUUUAACAGAUGACGAGCUGAUUGUAGCGAAAGAGGAAGGGACGGCUAACUCUGUGCCAGCAGCCGCGGUAAUACAGAGGUCCCAAGCGUUGUUCGGAUUCACUGGGCGUAAAGGGUGCGUAGGUGGUUGGAUAAGUCUGAUGUGAAAUCUCCAAGCUCAACUUGGAAACUGCAUCGGAUACUAUUUAACUAGAGGGUUGGAGGGGAGACUGGAAUACUUGGUGUAGCAGUGAAAUGCGUAGAUAUCAAGUGGAACACCAGUGGCGAAGGCGAGUCUCUGGACAACUCCUGACACUGAGGCACGAAAGCUAGGGGAGCAAACAGGAUUAGAUACCCAUGUAGUCCCUGAGCGGGCUGGCAAGGCGCAU